GUGGGCAACUUACUGAGAGCUUGGGUUACCCUGCGCCCGUCUGACGAGUAAUACUUGGUAGGCCUGCCAACAAGAGCACGCCCACAUGUGUACCCCGGACCUGGGGCCCUAAGGGUGAAGUUUUUCGGCAUCUUAACCGUCUUAUUGGUAGUCCCAGCAAGACCUACACUAAUCUGGAAGGAGGAUGCAGCAUUUCCUGGGUCCUGGUUAAAUGUCUUUAUAACUCCUGCCUUGCAACAAUUGGCAAUUUGCUGGUUGAAUGGGGUGCCCGGAAGAAGAUCGACAAUCGUUGGAUCUCUCUUGCAGCAAUGGGGAGGGGCACUCUUGAAUUUUGAGCAAUCACCCUGCUCAGUAGCCUGA
rnacentral:rRNA from 1 species